AUUGAACGCUGGCGGCAUGCUUUACACAUGCAAGUCGAACGGCAGCGCGGGCUUCGGCCUGGCGGCGAGUGGCGAACGGGUGAGUAAUGCAUCGGAACGUGCCCAGUAGUGGGGGAUAGCCCGGCGAAAGCCGGAUUAAUACCGCAUACGACCUGAGGGUGAAAGCGGGGGACCGAAAGGCCUCGCGCUAUUGGAGCGGCCGAUGUCGGAUUAGCUAGUUGGUGGGGUAAAGGCUUACCAAGGCGACGAUCCGUAGCUGGUCUGAGAGGACGACCAGCCACACUGGGACUGAGACACGGCCCAGACUCCUACGGGAGGCAGCAGUGGGGAAUUUUGGACAAUGGGGGCAAGCCUGAUCCAGCCAUGCCGCGUGCGGGAAGAAGGCCUUCGGGUUGUAAAGCGCUUUUGUUGGGGAAGAAAUCCUCUGGGCUAAUACCCCGGGGGGAUGACGGUACCGGAAGAAUAAGCACCGGCUAACUACGUG
rnacentral:rRNA from 1 species